GCCGCCGUAGCUCAGUGGCAGAGCGCCGCCUUGGUAAGGCGGAGGCCUCGGGUUCAACCCCCGACGGUGGCUCCA
rnacentral:tRNA from 2 species